GUGGAUGUAGCUCAGCUGGUUAGAGCAUCGGCUUGUGGUGCCGAGGGUCGUGGGUUCGAGUCCCAUCUUCCACCCA
rnacentral:tRNA from 1 species